GACGAACGCUGGCGGCGUGCUUAACACAUGCAAGUCGAACGGAAAGGCCCUGCUUUUGUGGGGUGCUCGAGUGGCGAACGGGUGAGUAACACGUGAGUAACCUGCCCUUGACUUUGGGAUAACUUCAGGAAACUGGGGCUAAUACCGGAUAGGAGCUCCUGCUGCAUGGUGGGGGUUGGUAAGUUUCGGCGGUUGGGGAUGGACUCGCGGCUUAUCAGCUUGUUGGUGGGGUAGUGGCUUACCAAGGCUUUGACGGGUAGCCGGCCUGAGAGGGGGACCGGCCACAUGGGGACUGAGAUACGGCCCAGACGGCUACGGGAGGCAGCAGUGGGGAAUAUUACACAAUGGGCGGGAGCCUGAUACAGCAACGCCGCGUGCGGGAUGACGUCCUACGGGGUGUAAACCGCUUUCGCCUGUGACGAAGCGUGAGUGACGGUAAUGGGUAAAGAAGCACCGGCUAACUACGUG
rnacentral:rRNA from 1 species